CCCCCCCCCCCCCGCGCGGCGUGGCGUGUUGACGUCACGCGGCGACGCGGCGACGCCCUCAGUCAUGGCGGCGGUGGAGGCGGGUAGGGGGGAAAGUGGCGCGGCCCGGCUUCAUCCGCCGCCAUCUGCCGCUCGCCGCCGCCAUCCCCAACCGGGGCCGGUGCCAGGGACCGGGAGGGGAGCGGGGACAGCGCGGGGUGAGGCGUUGCGCCUCUCAUCGGGCCCCGCCGCCAGCGUGAGGCUCCGGCUCCGCUGAUCCCAGAGGGAUGUAGGAAGCUGCCGGGAAGGAGGAGGUUCCCACUUCAUGAUCCCAGAGGGAUGUAGGAGGCUGCUGGGAAGGAGGAGGUGGGUUCCACGGUGCCGUCCUUGGGGGGUUGUGCCCCACACUCCCCCCUUGUCAUCGUAAUUAACUUAAUUCUGUCUAAUUGGUUCUCCUAAACCCCACUGUAAAGGCUUUGUCCGCUCGUUCACCACCAGAGGAGUCUCUGAGGGCUUCAGUCCCAGGGGAGAGGUGACACCUGGGGGCACGGCUGGACACGGGGACCCCCCAGCCCCGGCCCUUCAUCCCAAGGGGGUUUCUUCAGCCCCCUUGGGGCAAGCCUUCCAGCGUGGGGGGGCCUGGGGUGGCCCCCACCAUUCCUACAGCGCUUGCCAGAGCAGCCCUGGUAGGGUUUGAGGCCUCUCCCCGCCACCCCCGGGGAGGGGUUAUAGAAAUCCCGGACACCCCCAUGUCCCAGGGGAGAUGGGGAGGCUCAGGGGUGGGGGGGGAACCGGGUGCCACCUCCUCCAGCCCCACUGAUGCCGUUCUGUCCCUCUCCCAUUGCAGGUUCCCAUUCGGUGAUCCCAGAGGGAUGUAGGAAGCUGCCGGGAAGGAGGAGGUGGGUUCCACGGUGCCGUCCUGUGGGGUUUGUGUCCCCCAUUCCUCCCUUGUCAUCAUAAUUAGCCUAAUUCUGUGUAAUUACCUCAGCCAAACCCCUUCAGUCCCCAAACAAGAGUCUCUGGGGGAUGAAAUCCCACUGGAAAGUGGCCACGUGGGGCCGUGCCCAGGCUGGUUCAUGCUCCUUGGGACAGGUUGAGGUGACACCGUGGUGCCAAGGCCUUGCUCCCUGGCUGUUCCCUUGUCACCCCUCACUCUGGGUGCUGUCCUGGGGGGGUUGUGUCCCCCACUCCCCCCUUGUCAUCGUAAUUAUCUAAUUCUGUGUAAUUGGUUCUCCUAAACCCCACCGCAAAGGCUUUGUCCCCUCGUUCACCACCAGAGGAGUCUCUGAGGGCUUCAGUCCCAGGGGAGAGCUG
rnacentral:lncRNA from 1 species